rnacentral:rRNA from 1 species
GUAGGGGGCAAGCGUUAUCCGGAUUUACUGGGUGUAAAGGGAGCGUAGACGGAGAGGCAAGUCUGAUGUGAAAACCCGGGGCUCAACCCCGGGACUGCAUUGGAAACUGUUUUUCUAGAGUGUCGGAGAGGUAAGCGGAAUUCCUAGUGUAGCGGUGAAAUGCGUAGAUAUUAGGAGGAACACCAGUGGCGAAGGCGGCUUACUGGACGAUGACUGACGUUGAGGCUCGAAAGCGUGGGGAGCAAACAGGAUUAGAUACCCUGGUAGUCCACGCCGUAAACGAUGACUACUAGGUGUCGGGUGGCAAAGCCAUUCGGUGCCGCAGCAAACGCAAUAAGUAGUCCACCUGGGGAGUACGUUCGCAAGAAUGAAACUCAAAGGAAUUGACGG